AUGGCGUCAAGCAGCGGGGAGGAGCCUCGUACCUCACCAGUUAUGGCGGAUUCUACUCCGAUGGUGAGGAUGGAAGCCAAGAUGUUUGUGGCGACAGGCCAUGACCAUUGCCAGGAGUUGAAGGAUAUGAUCAGCAAGGCGGAUCCUUCGACCAUGGUAGUGGUGAUGGCCUCCAACAACCAGACUUCCGCACCGAAGCCUCGCUCGCCGGUCAUGGAUCCCCGGCUGCUAGCAGCGGCCUGCUCUGGCUCGUGGCAGAAACUGCAAUCAUUUCUCAACAAGCAAGACCGUCAAACCUCCAGCGACGGGGCUAUCGGAAGCUCGGCUAUGCAGCCAGCUUCUGGAGACGUAGAAGCACUUCGCUGGGAGUCUUUCCUGGACGGGGUCACCAUGGAUGGCGACACUUUUCUCCAUGUGAUGGCCACCAACAGUGAUGGUGACAACUUGGAUGAAGAUGGCACCAUACGCAAGAAGGCAAUAAGCCUCCUCUUCGUGCAAAACAGCCAGGGAGAUACGCCUCUGCACUAUGCUGCACGGGCGGCCAAGAUCAAUAUGGUGUCUUUUCUCAUUGAUCUGGCCAGAGGUGAGGAUCAAGAUACUAGCAGAGUGAAGGCAUUGCUAGAGAUGGAAAACAUGAGUAAAUGGACAGCCUUGCAUGAGGCGGUCUGCAGUGGGAAAAAUGAUAUAGUCGAAUUGCUCAUGAAGGAGGAUCCAGAAUUGACAAGUCUUCCGAAGACUGGUACUUCUCCGUUGUACCUAGCCAUCUUAAUGGAAAAUAAAAUCAUCGCCAAGACACUCUACGAGUUAAGCCUCAGGAAAAGUGGGAAUAAUGACAGGAAUCUUUCAUACUCUGGACCAGAUGGACAAAAUGCAUUGCAUGCUGCUGUUCUCCGAGGCAAAGGUCUUACAGAGAUGGUGUUAGGAUGGAACAACAAUCUUACAACACAACAAGAUGAUAAGGGAAGUACACCUCUUCACUUAGUUGCAUCCGUACUACCUCAAAGUCCCCUACAAUUACUUGCAUCCGUACUACCUCAAAGUGGCCUACAAGCCAUACGUUUCCUUCUACUGAAUGCCAAUCCGGAUGCAUUGUAUCAAACGGACAACGACGGGUCAUUCCCCAUACAUGUGGCUGCAUCCGUAGGUGCAACACUGGCCAUCAGUGAUUUUAUUGAGGAGUCACUCAGUUGUGUUGGUUUGCGUGAUGCUAGGGGAAGGACGUUUCUUCAUGUUGCAGUUGAAAAAGGGGAAAUGUGGACAGUCCGUUCUGUUUGCAGGAACCGGUCGUUAUUAUGGAUUUUGAAUAUGCAAGACAACAAAGGAAACACGGCCAUGCACCUAGCUGUCCAGACAGGGAGGCUUACGAUGUUUUAUGCUCUAUUCGGCAAGAGAGAAGUACACUUAAAUUCAACAAAUGAGAAAAGGGAGACUCCCCUAGAUAUAGCAAAUCGCAAUAUUUCCAAAGGAAAACUGUAUUAUACUCAGAACAGUGAAGUGAAAAUAUGCAGAGCACUCAAAUAUGCUGGUGCUAAACGGGGUGUUUGUCGUCAGGAUUGCCUUGAAGAAGACAAUAUUAUCCAAGGAAAACAGGAUGGAACAUGCAAAAUGGAUCAAGUGAAAGAGGGGACACAAAAUCUAUGUGUUGGCUCUGUACUAAUUGCAACCAUAACAUUUGGUGCAAAUUUUGCCAUGCCCGGAGGUUAUAGAGCUGAUGACCACAUUAAUGGAGGCACACCAACACUUGCGAGAAGGUAUGCUUUUGGUGCAUUCGUACAGGCAAAUGCACUUGCCUUUGCUUCUUCCAUGAUGGCUACAAUUGCUCUUAUGUCUUCUGGAUCUCCCAUGCACAACCCUCGGAGCCGGGCAAUGAAUAUAAGCAUGGCCUUCGCUUUCAUGGAUGUUUCGGUUACAAGUUUGGUGGCUGCUUUUGCACUUGGUACCUAUACGAUGCUAGCUCCUGUUGCUCAUAGGACAGCCGUUGUAGUUUGUGUCUUAAGUUCUCUCGCAUUGCUAUAUCGUGAUUUGGAAAUAGCAAUCAAGAAUUCUGUUCUAGCAGCAUCACACUACAGGAGAAAGCGAAUAUGUCACGGGAUAGUCUUUUCGUUGGCGGCUUUCACAUUCUUGGCCAGUCUUAUAUUUCAACUUUGGCCCAUAGUAGUCAUCUAUUGUUUGACUGCAUUAAGUCACAUCAGUGGCAAAGUGGAACUAGCGGCACAGCCACCCACACCACUGGCUUGA
rnacentral:rRNA from 1 species